GGCAGUUAGGAUUAUCCACUUCAUGGCUGCAGAUGUUUUGGGAGAGGACCUCUAAGAAGCCUAAACUCUCAGUGCAAGAAGUUACUACAUCACCAGCAUUACUUGCUGAAAGCACUGAGGCAGCGCGUGGAAGUGACCAAUUUGAAAUUCCAGCAAUUCAAAAUAUUGAAUUCAUCAUUACCGAUGAUGAAAAUGCAAUUAGUACAAAUGUGAUUGAUGCUGCCAAUGGAGAAGAUUCUCAACCACAUGAACAAGG